rnacentral:lncRNA from 1 species
CUGAAGCAUAUAAGUUGGAGAGUAACACGUAAUCCCCACUCUCAUCCCUUCUCAAUGUCAGUAGUUUCUCAUUUGCACGCCUACCCAGCUCAACAUUUCCAUGUAUUCUACAAGCCCCUAGAAGAGUCCUCCAAAUUACAGCAUUAGGUUCAAUAUUCAUACUUUCUAUGAACUCAAAUGCAUCAUUCAAUAGCCCUGCACGCCCUAAAAGAUCCACCAUACACCCAUAGUGUCUUUCAUUUGGCUCUAAGCCAUACACAUCUUUCAUAACAUUAAAAUAUUGACGCCCCAUUUCGACUUUACCAGCAUGACUGCAAGCAACUAGCACUCCAACAAAAGUGAUUUCAUUUGGUCUGAUAUUUUUCAACCUUUGAAUCUCUGCAAACAAAUUGAUCGACUCCUCAGCGUGGCCAUGAAAAGCCAAACCUAAUAUAACUGAAUUCCAUGUUGAGACAUCUUUCUCCCUCAUCCCUCUGAACACUUCAAGUGCUCUUUCAAUACUGCCACACUUGGCAUACAUGUAUAUAAGCGCAUUCCCCAAUAAUACACUCAUAUCUCCUAAACUCAUCUCCAAAAUUGAGCGAUGCACCUUCAUGCCAACAUCCAAAUCACCCAAAUCCGUGCAAGCUGACAAAAGACUCAGCAUAGUGACCUCAUCUGGCUGCUCUCCUACACCUCUCAUCUCUUCAAACAUCUCCAAUGCCUGCUUGUUCUCCCCAGAAAGCACAUAUCCUGCAAUCAUCACGUUCCAAGUCACAACAUCCUUUUUAGGAACCUCAUCGAAGAGUCUCCUUGCCAACUUCAUCUCCCCUUUCUUAGCAUAUGCUGUAAUCAUCACAUUCCAAGCAACCAAAUCCUUAACUGGCAUUUCAUCAAACAGCUGUCUCGCCAUCCUCAAUUGCCCUCUCCUUGCAUAACCUGCAGUUAAAGCAGACCAUGCAACAAUAUCCCUUUCUCCUGAAUCAUAAAAAAUGGCUCUAGCUAUCCCCAAAUCCCCACAGUUAGCAUGAUGAUAAAUAAGGGUAUUUCUCACAAACUUAUUAUCUUCAAACCCGUACUUGACGAUCUUUCCAUGAAUACAAGAACCAGUUUUUCUCCAUUCAAGCCUGGUACAAGCCUUAAGCAAGAAAGAAAACGUGAACUUAUCAGGCUUUAUACCGGUUCCCUCCAUCUGGGAAUAGAGUGAAAAUGCUUUUAAUGGGUGAUGACUUUGAGCUGAACCUCUCAUCAUUGUGUUCCACAUGAAGAUGUCCGGUUCGGAAAUCUGAGCGAACAGUUGAUGGGCAUAGUCUAUGGUGCCAGAAAUGGACAUAGCACUGGCGAAAAUGAGUUCCCUUAAGGCUGAUGAGCAUGAAUUGAAGCCUUUGGUUAUAAGGGAAGCAUGUAUUUGCUUUAGAGAGCGAAGGUUUGUACAGUUUUGCCAUAGACUUGACCGCUGCUGGCGAUUGGAGCUCCUGUCGUUAGUUCUCUUCCUUAUCAUGACAAGAACUGCAGCUUUUCAUCGCUUCCGCGCGCGAAAUGGAAGUCAGUUGUCAGCCUCUAGCAAUGGAAGGAAGCUAAUAAGCCAUGGGCGUGGCAUUUAUCCACCAUCAUAACUGAUAUUUUCACUUGCAGCAGCAAAUUUUGUAGAAUGGAUGCUCAGAUAACAAAUUGAAGGAUUGCCGACGGAAAGCCGCUUUCCACAAAGGUUACUCGCCCGAUGUUUUCACAACUCAAGGGCUUCCCCGCUAGAAGAUUAAUGACAAAUCGCAUAACUUAACGCCUGUGUUGAUAAAUUACUUAGAAAUUUUGAACAGGCACAAGUUACAAUUAUUAUUUCUGAGGAUAAAUAACCUCUAAAUUUUUUUAAAUAUCAAAUUUAAAAUCUAAAAUAUUAAUAAAUCAAUAUUUUUAGCCAACUGUUGGUUAUGUGGACAAACUUAAAUUAAUGACUAUUUAUAUCACUAAUUUACAGUUAUGUUGUUAAAAAGUUAGAAAUUUAGGGAUUUGAAUGUUAACCAUUUCUAUUUCACUUAUAAUGGUAGUUUAAAUUCAAGAGCAAAGAAUCAAAAGUUUGAUUCCUCAUCAAUAAAGACGUUUUCAAUAUCUUCAUCCCGUAGCAAAUUAACUUCUUUUUGGGGCAACAACGACGCUGGUGGUAGGAUCCAAUCAACAUUGAAUCGGAUGAUUAUGCAGAUUCGUAUGGGGUAUAAUGGAAUUACCUCUACAAUCAAUAUUUUUUGCAAGUUGUUUGCAAAUAUAUUUUGGAUGGAUUUUUUUAAAAUCUUAAAUCUAAGAUAGUGAAUAUAUGGUAAGAGUUAUUCUGCUUUCGUUGCACAAUAUAAUCACUAAUAUUCUUAGUCACUCCUUUUUUUUUUUUUGUAAAUUUUUAUAUUUUCAAUUUUAAUUCUAUCAAAUAGGAUUUGAAUACAAGUUCUAAAAAAAAAAUUCAAAAGUUAAUGAGGGUUUAUUUAGACAUUAACAUAUAGUUUAGGAAUUAAAUUGUAUGUAUGCCUUUUAAAUAAAUAACAUCCGACUAUAUAAUGCUAAUAUCAAUAUCAAUAAUAAUAAUAAUAAUAAUGGUGAUCGUGAACUUGUAAUAACUACAUCAGAGUUAAAUGUGUAGCUCUCCCAAUUCUUCUGCCCUUUAACUCAAAAAAAAAAAAGCAAAAUAAUAAUAAGUGGAAUUUUAUGAUUCAAUUAAAAUACUUUAAUUAUUAAUAUUAAAAUUAGAUUAGAAAUAUUUUUUAAUUUUAAUUUUCAUUAAAAUCUAAUAAUAAUAUGAUUUGAUAACAUAUAAUCCUGAUCGAAAUAUGUAAUUUUUAUCUGAUCAGUCUUAAUAAUUAAGAGAACUCAUCUCGAUGUAAAUCAAGUAGACCGAGCAUAACUUAAUAAAAUUAAAUUUAGACGUCGAUCUCUUAUACAUUGAUUAUCUUCUUGAAAUAUUAUUGGGUUAUAAAUGCAAUAAAUUAAAGUGAUGUAACCCAUAUAAUAAACAUGUAUAAAUUUCGUAUUUAUUAGUUAAUUAUCCAUUAUUAAUGAGAUGUUUAAUAUAUCUACAAUAAUGUAUUCCGUCCAAUCCGAUAGGAUAUGAUACAAAGAUAUCAAAACAAUCAGAAAUAUAUAUAUACCACUUAUCUAAUCAGGAUGUCAGAUCGACAAAAAAUAUAUAUACUAUUGAUUUAACUCAAAUAAGAAUAUUUUGAAUCUUUACUGAAUCCCCUUUAUCUUCCUCAAAAAAUCUUAAUCUCUCCCCUCCAAAUUCAACACUUAAAUUCAUGAACUUUCAUUAUUGAACCAAUCUCAAUUUAUCGAUUUUCUCAUUAAAUUAAAUUAUAUUUUCAUCUAAUAAUCAUCUCAGUUCAUCAUGAUUAAAUAUAAUUAAAUUAUUUAUUUGAUUAAUUAUCGCUGUGGGAAACGAAUAUAUUUUAGUAUAACUAACUAGUAAUACUAUAAAAUAUAUAGUUGGAAAUUUAAUUUAAAUAAUUUAUCAUAAAGAGUGCUAAUUUUUUUCAUUGAACCUAUUGUUUUUUUUGUUUUUUAAAAGGCAAAUUGUUAUUGAUGAUAUAAGAACUCUAAAGUCCACAUGUAUUGUAAUUUUCUUCUUAAUUAGACUGAGCUUGAAUAAAAUAAAUUUCAAUCUCAAAUAUCCAAACUAGGUAAGUUCAAUUUAAAAAAAAAAAUCUCGUCUAAGCUUAGCGUAUAACUUCAUAUUUGAACAUAUACAUGCAAAUUAUUUUUUAAUACGACGGAAAAUUUGCAUACAUAUAAUUAGCUAGGGAAUUUUAUUUUGCUCCAACAGGAUAUCUACUCCUAGCCCUCAACACCACAAUAAAUUCCCAUCCAAAGGAUGCGCCUGGUCCCAGAAUGACUGUGAGAGGCUAAAUUUACCCAAAAUUUUCUCCCAAAAAUGUGCUUUGAAUGGAGUCCAAAAAAUCUGCCAAUUUUUAACCAAUCCUUCGUAUACCUAUUUGUCAGCCUACUGAGAAAAAGUAAUCAGAAUACAUCAAGAAAAUUGGAGGACUACUUGAAAAUGCCUUGCCAAAGGCAAAUGAAUACAUUAAUGGUGUUAUCUUUUAUCCACAUAUUGCAUUUACAUGAAUAGUUGAAUGGUACUCAUCUUUAUUUGAAAAAUAUAAUUAGCAUAUUACUAUUAUUUUGGUACUCCAAGUCAUUAAAUCAGCACAACAGAAACAGACUUGGGAGCAAUUCUAACUAAGAUGCAGCAGUUGCCAUUUGAUUUUUCAAAUUUAACUUGUGAUUAGGAUCUAACAAAAAUUGCAGACGAGCACUCUCAUCUGCCUCAAUUAGGCUACAGCCAGGUUCUUUCCUCGCUCCACUACUGUCCAUUAACUUCCUAACGUUCUGCGCCCCAUCCCACUCACCCAUUGCAGCAUAUAUAUUGGAAAAUAACAUAUAAUCCCCCUUCUUAUCACUUCUCAUUUCAAGUAGUUUCUCAUGUGCUUGCCUGCCUAGUUCAACAUUUCCAUAAAUUCUACAAGCGCCCAGUAGAGUCCUCCAAAUUACAGCAUUAGGUUCAAUCUUCAUAUUUUCUAUGAACUCAAAUGCAUCAUUCAAUAGCCCUGCACGCCCUAAAAGAUCC